rnacentral:tmRNA from 1 species
GGGGAUGACAGGUUUCGACAGCGUGAUACUGGUGAAGUUUCGCUUCUGUUCGGGAUGGCAACGGUUCCCGCACCCACUGUUGCAAACAAUAUCUGCCACUGCAGAUGUACCGGCGGUCUUCAAGAAGGCGUUCGCGAAUUUCGCGCCCGCCCUUGCAGUCGCCUAGGUUCGCUCUAUGCGAACACGUCUCACUCUGGAUUCUCGCUAAGGAGAUGGGGCGUAAUCAGCGAGGCAGUGUCACCGUCUGAUGUCGCGGUGAUGCGGUCAACCAGGCAUCAUCCCUCGCACUCUUUCUUUGCUCUUCUCUGAAGGGCUGCGAGUACGAGAAGAGCACGACAGUACAAGCAGCUGCGCCACACGUUGGACCCGGGUUCGAUUCCCGGCAUCUCCACCA